rnacentral:rRNA from 1 species
CCUACGGGUGGCAGCAGUGAGGAAUAUUGGUCAAUGGUCGGGAGACUGAACCAGCAAAGCAGCGUGAGGGAGGAAGGUACAGAGUAUCGUAAACCUCUUUUGUCAGGGAACAAAGGCGGGGACGUGUACCCGGAUGAGUGUACCUGAAGAAAAAGCAUCGGCUAACUACGUGCCAGCAGCAGCGGUAAUACGGAGGAUGCGAGCGUUAUCCGGAUUUAUUGGGUGUAAGGGGGGCUCAGGCGGUCUGUUAAGUAGGCGGUCAAAGCCCGGGGCUCAAACCCGGCCCCGCCGUUGAAACUGGCAGUCUCGAGUUGGAGAGAAGUAUGCGGAAUGCGCGGUGUAGCGGUGAAAUGCAUAGAUAUCGCGCAGAACUCCGAUUGCGAAGGCAGCAUGCCGGCUCCACACUGACGCUGAGGCACGAAAGCGUGGGUAUCGAACAGGAUUAGAUACCCUAGUAGUC